rnacentral:snRNA from 1 species
GAUGUGAGUGCAAUCUGACUGUGAAUUCUGUUACCCAGUUGAUCGACAGGAUUGAUUCAGCUGAUAUGACUGGCUUAGGUGUGUGUCCCAACCCCUUACACUCUCCCUGUUACACGUCUAUCAUUGCUGGAGUUAUACUCCUUCAAUUAGGACAACUUCCCCAAUAGAGGACCAAGAUAGGUCAAAGUUAUGGAUUUUGCCCCAACUCCCCUGCUAGAACAUCUAUACCAGCUCUCUAAAAGCAAGCAUUAUUUUCUUUCCCUGAUAGAGAGAAGAAAAUGUUCAAGUCAUCCUAUGA